rnacentral:lncRNA from 1 species
GGUUCAAGUGAUUCUCCUGCCUCAGCCUCCCAGGUAGCUGGGAUUACAGGUUCACGUCACCACACGAGGCUAAUUUUGUAUUUUUAGUAGAGAUGAGGUUUCACCAUGUCAGACAGGCUGGUCUCAGAUUCCUGACCUCAGGUGAUCCGCCCACCUUGGCCUCCCAAAGUGCUGGGAUUACAGGCAUGAGCCACUGUGCCCAGUCUGAGAAGACCAAUCUUAUGCAAACCUCUUACUGGGCCCAGCAAUUCAACUGUGACCCCUCUGGCCUCUCUGGCUUCCCUCCAGAACCCUGCCUGCCCCAUGGUUGUAUAGGCUGGGGACACUAAUGACUCCCCCAAAAGCCUGUCAGGAUUUUAAAAAUUGGGCUCUUCGGAACUUCUGUGGAAAAUUGAAGAGCAUGUGAAGACACAGUGAGAAUGUGGCCAUCUGCAAGCCAGGAGGCAUGCCCUCAUCAAAACCUGAUCAUGCUGGCAUCUUCAUCUUGGAAUUUCAGCCUCCAGAACUAUAAGAAAAUAAAUCUCGAUUGGGCAUCAAGGUAUAAGAAAAAAGAGAAAGAAGAGAAAAGAAAAGAAAUGUCUGUUGUCGAAGCCACUCCACCUAUGGUAUUUUGCUAUGGCAGCCUGAACUGACUAUGAGAGGCUGUGAGAAAGACUUGGCCCAGUGUUGCCAGCUUUGACAACAAAGGAAGGUGACCAUGAGCCAAGGCAGCGGGCAGCCUGUAGAAGCUGGAGAAGUCAAGGAAAUAGAUUGUCCUUUAGAUCUGCUAGAAAGGAACACAGCCUUGCUGACACCUUGAUUUUAGCCCUGUGAGAUCCAUGUCAUGCUUAUGACUUAGAGAACUGCAAAAUAAUAAAUUCGUGUUGUCUGAAGCCACUAACGAGUGUGGCAGUUUGUUACAGCAACAAUAGACAAUGAAUACAGAUACUAAGAAUCAGAUAGGCAGGGCUGACUACUAAAUAUUUCAAGGAGUUAAAACAUGCAAAAGUUCACGCUAAAGUUAUUAAAACUAGAAAUAAAAGUGCUUAAAAAUGUUUGCUAGCAACUGCCUUGUACAUAACAUCAACAGCUACAGUCAUUUUUUUCUUGCUGUUUGCGUCAAUCCAGGGCACUUACUUCAAAGACUAUCGAGAGAAUCUCAUUGGUGCUCACAUUUUAGUAUUAUUGAAUAAUUUAUAAGGAUUAAAUCAAGA